GUAGUAGUUUAGUGGUUGGAGUAUCAGUCUCCAACUCUAAGGUACUAGGUUCGAAUCUUGCCAGAAACA